rnacentral:pre_miRNA from 1 species
AGCAUUCUGAAUUCGUGUAGAGAUUUCGUCACACACCAACUCAUUAUGGCUGAUCAGACUUCCAAGAUAAAUAAAGUU